GAGAGAGAGAGAGAGGAUGUGCACACUCACAUGUGAGCAUUCAUAUGUAGAGGCCAGAGAAUAACCUUGGGUGAAAAGUCCUCAGACGCCCCACCCUGUUUUUUCCUCUCCAAUGACUGGAGCCCAGCACAUAGGCUAGACUGGCUGCCUUUGAGCCCAGGCUUUACUUUUCUGCAUCUCUGAAACAUCGGGACUACAUGUGCAUCCCACCGUGCCCAGCUUUUUUUUUUUUUAAUCUGAGGGUUUUAGGGUCCAACUUGGGUCUCUGUUUCUCUCCUCUUGAAUGUACAUAGAUAAACUUUAGCUGUGCCUUUUGCUGCUUUUCUGAAGGCCAAGCUCCACUUCCCCACUCAGCAGGUCUCUCCUGGGGGCAGAGGCACGACAGCCUGUGACUGAGCACUCUUGCUGUGGUCAUUGUCCUUCCUACUGUCUGUUGCUGGGUCUUCAUGAGGCCAUCUCACUGGGUCCCCACAGUGCUGGCUCUAGGUGGUGCUGAAAUCUUGGAGUUCUUCACUAACGGCCUUUUGAGAGGAGUCAGGGAUUAAGGCAGGGUCAUUCUCUGCUUGUGAGGGGUGAUCUCAGCCAGGACUGACCUAGUUUUCUUCUGAGUCACAGAUCAGUGCUCAGGGACAUGCAGUGUGUAGUUCCCUCCGAUAUGUUGGGGUGCUGACAUGACCAAGAAGACCAAGAGCUACUCCCACCCCAGAGGCAUGGCUUAGAGGCUUUGGGAUUCAAUUUUUGGGGUUUGUGGAAGGGUGACAUCGUCUGGGCAGCUGCUCUGGCCUCAGUUUCUCUUAAGUGCCCAGCCAUAACAGUGAAGGAACUGAAACUCAGCCGAUCCAAGAGUUCUGCCCAGUUAUAUGGAAGGGUGUAUAGAGUACCUGAGUGUUCAGUGUGUGUUGUGCCACCUCCUGCCAUACCCUGCUGCUGCCUGGUCUUUUCCUGCCAUUGUUAAUGCCCAGGGACUGUGGCCAUUGCUCACAGCUUGUCACCUGCUCCUACUCUAAGAAGCUAAGCUUCUCUGUCGGUGGUGACAUGCAGUCUGCUGUGGAAGAUGGUUCUCCCUGGGCAGAGGACUCAGAUUCUGUCCAAGGCCCUUCCUACAUCAUGACUGCCCAGUGACUGAGGUCGUCAAGGGCUGUCAGGAAGGCCCUCUCAUCUAAGCUAGAGCAUUCAAGCCAGGCAUCCUCUGAGCCCUCCCUUAACAGCUAACUCCGAAGAAAAGAGGCUUAGAGUGAGGCAGAGGAUAGGUCAUAGCCUCCACAGGGUGGGAACACACACAGUGUGCCUUGCCUCAGCCUUGGGUCGGGGGAGCAUCAGAAACAUGAAACCCCCCUUUUAUACCCUUGAAGACUUUGUAACUUACAAGAGACAUAGUCUGAAACACCCCAGAAUUCCAAGUUGCACUCUGGACUCCCCUCUGUAGCACAUACCUACAUGAGCACCAUCAGCAACAACCAUGGCUUCUGCCUGUCAGGUCUUGUAAAGCCAUUGUAGGAGCCUCACACAGGGAAGCUGUGUUCCCUGAGACACUCUGGUUGGCCAGGGAAUUGUUCCGGUCUCUUAGAAAGUACAGGACGGAGCUGAGAUGGGACCUGGGUCUUUCUGGUAGCUCUAUGCUAGUUCAAUUCUGGCUUCUGGAGUGAAAGGUGGCCAGAGUGAAGUGCGGCAAGGGUGAGAGGGCGAAUACAGCCACAUGCAGCCAUGGUCUCCUAAGGCUGCAAGGAAGGGGCUCUUCUGGAAGUGCUGGACACUGGAACAGUCCUUGCACCGCGGGCUUCCCUCCUGGCCUCUGGCCUCAGUUUCCUUGCAGGCCAAGAAGCACUGAGGCUCAGCCAGAAGAGAGGCUCAAAGCGUACCUGCCACUCAAGUGCCCUCAUCCGUGGUCUGCAGGUCAGCAGGAGCCCGAGAGGCCACAUUCUGGAGGCCUGUAUGAUGGGCACCUGACCAAUUUCCAGCUGAAAUCUUUGAGCUUUCUCAAGUCACUGAAGCUGGAGCAGCAGAAGCAGGAGCGAGCACUGGCCCUUCUGCAGCAGCGAGCAGAGCAGGAGGUGUGGGAGACACAGUUGUUGCUGGACCAGCUUCUCUUCAAACACCAGCUGAAGGUCAGCAGGCUGCCCCUCCCGAGGCAUUAACUGGUGUGCUAGCCCUGCCCAGUGUCCCUUCUACCCUACCUGUGACCCUCCCUGCCCCCGGGGAUGGUCCACGGGGGCAAACGGAGCAGAGACUAC
rnacentral:lncRNA from 1 species